GCCCAGCCUGGAGAGCAGAAUCACAUUCCGACCUGGUGACUUUGAUUUUGAAAGAGGAGGGAUGAGGGAAAGACAGAGAGGGAGAAAAAAAGACAUUGGAUUGUGUCCCUAGAGAGCAGUUUCCAAAUGUGGCUCUAAUGAAGCAUCUAGAAUCUGCAUUCGGAGGCCGAAAAAGCACAGUGAUUGCAGCCCCCCCAGGAAGGUAGAAACACAAGCUACUCCUAAAACACCAGGAUCAGGACAUCAUCUUUCCCCAGCAACAUCUGGAAUAUUAACAGACUGGAGCAGGAUUGGAGUUGCAUUGGCUGAACCAAUCUCCGGCAGGAGCCUCCCCCCACUCGCAAGAAGGAAAAAGCAGCCGUGAACGUGAGGAGCAGCAGACUCACCGCUGCGUGACUCCAGUUUCAUGCCUGCACUUCUCCAUUGAUUUAUGGGGCAGCUCAUUUCCAGACCCACCUCCUUCAGGAGGAGGAACUUCAACUCGAUGUGAA